rnacentral:misc_RNA from 1 species
GAUGAUGACUCACUUGAAGAGGACAAUGAUGACGAGAGACAAGACAUAUGCUUCAAAUCUUUCAAUUUCCUUAAUGCGUUGAGUGAUCUCAUGAUGCUUCCCAAGGACAUGCUCUUGAGUAGAUCCAUAAUAGAUCCAUAAGAAAAGAGGUAUGCCCUGCAUUUGGAACUCCAUUAAUCAAGAGGGUUCUUGACAAUUUUGUCACUGAUGAAUUUUGCCCCGAUCCUAUUCCUAACGUCGUGCUUGAAGCCCUGGAGUCUGAGGAUUCUCUUGAGGCUGGGGAGGAGUCUGUCACAAACAUACCAUAUAUUGCUGCUCCACCAUUUUAUUUGCCACCUUUGGCAGCUUCAGUUGCUGAAAUUAUUGGAGAGUCUGGAAGUCAAUCGCAGCUGAGAAGAAGUGGCUCGUUGCUCAGAAAGUCAUACACCAGUGAUGAUGAGCUUGAUGAACUGAAUUCACCUUUGGCUUCAAUUUUCCUUGAUGGCUCUCGAACUUCACCUGCACCAACAAAGCUUAGCUUGAAAUCAAAGGAAAUGGGAAAACAAAACUCCAUUAGAUAUGAACUUCUUAGGGAAGUAUGGACGAACAGUGACUAACCAUGUAAAUUCACAGGUACAUACAAGUUGAUGAUGUUUCACCUUGACUUAUUAUGUGUUGUAUAUUUGCACUCAAAUUCUGGGAUUGUUUU